rnacentral:lncRNA from 1 species
GCAGUUUCCGGAACACCGGUCUCAGGUCAUCUGCUGAGGAGUGGGGAAGCCCAGCUGUUUAGGUCUGGGGAACAUCAGGUGCCCCACAGUGGCUGUGGCCUCUGCCAUAGUGUAGUUCUUCCCUCCUCCCUCCAGCUGAGUCCUGAGAUGCCAAGUACCAGUCAGGCUGCCUGCCUUUGCUCACAUGCAUUGGCAUCCCUCUGGAGGCCUUGUGUUCUGAUGUCACACUAAGAAUCAUGCAUGUUCACUCACUCCGUGACUGCAUAAAAGUUCAUCCUGAAAUCAGGCUGGUAAUGAGCUGCUGUUCAUGUGUGGUCUUCAUGGGGGGAACCCAGUCAUGUGCUCCACACUUCAAGACACGAAGGGGAAGAUGGGAGGCAGUAAGCUUGACCUUCCUGCAGGUGCUGAGCCAGCUCAUGGGGGCUGAGGACCAGGGCUGGGCUUUACCUGCCUCUGAAGGGGCUUGGAGCAGAGGCAGGGGAGGUGGAAGAAUAGGAACCUGGGGCAGUGUCCUUCCCAGGCAGGAGGACACAGAAGAGCAGGCCCCUGCCAACAUCAAGUUGAAACAGCUGUAAAAGUGGCCUGGGCACAAAGCUGGCAACUGAAGAUAAGGCUCAGGACACAGCGAGCGGUCACCCUGAGGCUCUCCUGGGAGCAGGGAGUGGCUGUCUCCGGCCAUGGUCCACAAAGGCACCAACCACUCCCCUUUGCAGGUGUGAAGCAGCAGCUGGGGACAGUUCAGCCCGGCUUAGGCAUGACCUCUGUUUUCAUCUGCCUGCGAGGCACCAAGGAGGACCUGCAUCUGCCGUCCACCAACUACUAUGUUUACUAUGACACGGACAUGGACCAGGCGUAAGGUGCACGUGUGUGUGUGGCCCGUGCCUCCCUGCUUGACUCAGAGAACGAGCAGAAGUUAUGGAAUGGGAGGAAGUAGGCAAUUUCCAAUUUGCACCUGGAAGUUUGUCACACCAAGGCUGUGGCUCAGCUUCACCCCUGUGGGGAGUCCCUAGGGACGAGCAGUCCUUGCAGUGGUUCUGGGGUUUUGAGGACAAAAGCCUGGAGAUCGCACCACACUCUUGUCACACGCAGGAUGGAGCGCUACAUCUCCAUGCCCAGGGAAGAGGCUGCGGAACACAUCCCUCUUCUCUUCUUCGCUUUCCCAUCAGCCAAGGAUCCGACCUGGGAGGACCGAUUCCCACGGGGGGCUGCACGUCCUGGGUGAGGGGGUGGAGGGAGGGGCCGGGCAGUAGUAAUAUCAGCUCUGAUCCCCAGGCCGGUCCACCAUGAUCAUGCUCAUACCCAGCACCUACGAGUGGUUUGAGGAGUGGCAGGUGGAACUGAAGGGAAAGUAGGGCAGUGACUAUGAGACCUUCAAAAACUUCUUUGUGGAAGCCUCUAUGUCAGUGGUCCUGAAACUGUUCCCACAGCUGGAGGGGAAGGUGGAGAGUGUGACUGCAGGAUCCCCACUCACCAACCAGUUCUGGCUGCUCCCCGAGGUGUCUGCUACAGGGCUGACCAUGACCUGGGCCGCCUGCACCCUCGUGUGAUGGCCUUGAAGGCCCAGAGCCCCAUCACCAACCUCUGACAGGUAUACUCACUGCCCCAUGUUGUCAGGACCUGAGACCCUGGGCCCCUGUCGCCCAACGUCCUCUGUUCCUGCCCUCAGGCCCUGCUGUCCCCUGCAGCCUCCCAUCCCCUGAGCAGGGCUGCCUGGGCAGGCUGUGGCCCCUGUCUGAUUGGAGCCAGCUCUGGGUGGCCCUCAUGUGGAGGGAAGAGCACCAAGGCCCCACCCUCCCCUGGGCCUGCCUGGGUGCACACUCAGGGGCCUCUGCUCUUGCCUCCUAGGCCAGGGUAUCUUCACCUGUGGACUGGUAGGGGCCCUGCAAGGUGCCCUGCUGUGCAGCAGCGCCAUCCUGAAGUGGAACUUGUACUCAGACCUUAAGGAUCUUGUCUCUAGGAUCUGGGCACAGAAGAAUUAGUUCCAUCAGGGAGGAGUCAGAGGAAUUUGCCCAAUAGCUGGGGCAUUAGUUCCUUGCACAUAUAAACCACUCUUAUUUGGUUCUGAUGCCUGAAGAGAGGCCUAGUUUAAAUCACAAUUCCGAAUCUGGGGCAAUGGAAUCACUGUUUCCAGCUGGGGCAGGUGAGAUCUUUCCACCUUCUAUAAUAUGCCAUCCCUACUAAUAGGAUAUUGACUUGGAUAGCUUGAUGUCUCAUGACGAGCGGCGCUCUGCAUCCCUCACCCAUGCCUCCUAACUCAGUGAUCAAAGCGAAUAUUCCAUCUGUGGACAGAACCCCUGGCAGUGUUGUCAGCUCAAGCUGGUGGGUUCAGUUCUGUCCUGAGGCUUCUGCUCUCAUUCACUUAGUGCUACGCUGCACAGUUCUACACUGUCAAGGGAAAAGGGAGACUAAUGAGGCUUAACUCAAAACCUGGGCAUGGUUUUGGUUGCCAUUCCAUAGGUUUGGAGAGCUCUAGAUCUCUUUUGUGCUGGGUUCAGUGGCUCUUCAGGGGACAGGAAAUGCCUGUGUCUGGCCAGUGUGGUUCUGGAGCUUUGGGGUAACAGCAGGAUCCAUCAGUUAGUAGGGUGCAUGUCAGACGAUCAUACCCAAUUCAUAUGGAAGUCCCGGGUCUGUCUUCCUUAUCAUCGGGGUGGCAUCUGGUUCUCGAUGUGCCAGCAUCAAGGCACCUUCAGGGAGCUCGGUACCCGAGCCUCAAUCAAGCCUUAUCCUCCAAAUAUGCAGGGAAAGGUGACACAGGGCAGGGAAGGGUGACGUCAGGAGUCAGGGCAUCGACUGGUAAGAUUACUUCAUUGUGUUGAGGCAGGCUGCAGGGCAUUCCACACAAUGGCACAGCAGAGGACAGCACAGGGAGGCAACAGAGUGUUCCCAGCAAUGGCCCAGCUACUGAAAGCAGGCAGCCAGGCUGGGAGGAGUCAGGUGGCAAGAGAGUUGGUCAGGAG